GUCGUCAAUAGUGUGCGGCAAAUCCAAACCUACAAGGAGAUAGAGAAUUGAGUGAGGGGGCGUGGCCUGUGUGUCUGUAAAUCUCAGUGAAAGAUGUAUGGCCUCUGUGUCCUAGUGAAGGAGGCGUGGCCUCUGUGCCAUAGUCACAGUAAAGGAGGUGUGGCCUCUGUGUGUCAGUCACAGUAAAGGAGGUGUAGCCUCUGUGUGUCAGUCACAGUAAAGGAGGUGUGGCCUCUGUGUCCUAGUGAAGGAGGCGUGGCCUCUGUGCCAUAGUCACAGUAAAGGAGGUGUGGCCUCUGUGUGUCAGUCACAGUAAAGGAGGUAUGGCCUCUAUGUGUCAGUGACAGUAAAGGAGGUGUGGCCUCUGUGUGUCAGUCACAGUAAAGGAGGUGUGGCCUCUGUGUGUCAGUCACAGUAAAGGAGGUGUGGCCUCUGUGUGUCGGUCACAGUAAAGGAGGUAUGGCCUCUGUGUGUCAGUCACAGUAAAGGAGGUGUGGCCUCUGUGUCCUAGUGAAGGAGGCGUGGCCUCUGUGCCAUUGUCACAGUAAAGGAGGUGUGGCCUCUGUGUGUCAGUCACAGUAAAGGAGGUAUGGCCUCUAUGUGUCAGUCACAGUAAAGGAGGUGUGGCCUCUGUGUGUCAGUCACAGUAAAGGAGGUGUGGCCUCUGUGUGUCAGUCACAGUAAAGGAGGUGUGGCCUCUGUGUGUCAGUCACAGUAAAGGAGGUGUAGCCUCUGUGUGUCAGUCACAGUAAAGGAGGUAUGGCCUCUAUGUGUCAGUCAUAGUAAAGGAGGUGUGGCCUCUGUGUCCUAGUGAAGGAGGCGUGGCCUCUGUGCCAUAGUCACAGUAAAGGAGGUGUGGCCUCUGUGUGUCAGUCACGGUAAAGGAGGUAUGGCCUCUGUGUGUUAGUCUCAGUGAAGGAGGUGUGGCCUCUGUGUCUCAGUCUUAGUGAAGGAGGUGUGGCCUCUGUGUGUCAGUCACAGUAAAGGAGGCGUGGCCUCUGUGUGUUAGUCUCAGUGAAGGAGGUGUGGCCUCUGUGUCUCAGUCUUAGUGAAGGAGGUGUGGCCUCUGUGUGUCAGUCACAGUGAAGGAGGUGUGGCUUCUGUGUCUCAGUCUCAGUGAAGGAGGUGUGGUCUCUGUGUCAUAGUCUCAGUGAAGGAGGUGUGACCUCUGUGUCUCAGUCUUAGUGAAGGAGGUGUGGCCUCUAUGUGUCAGUCACAGUAAAGGAGGUGUGGUCUCUGUGUGUUAGUCUCAGUGAAGGAGGUGUGGCCUCUGUAUCUCAAUCAUAGUGAAGGAGGCGUGGCCUCUGUGUCUCAGACACAGUGAAGGAGGUGUGGCCUCUGUGUCUCAGUCUUAGUGAAGGAGGUGUGGCCUCUGUGUGUCAGUCACAGUAAAGGAGGUAUGGCCUCUGUGUGUUAGUCUCAGUGAAGGAGGUGUGGCCUCUGUGUCUCAGUCUUAGUGAAGGAGGUGUGGCCUCUGUGUGUCAGUCACAGUAAAGGAGGUAUGGCCUCUGUGUGUUAGUCUCAGUGAAGGAGGUGUGGUCUCUGUAUCUCAAUCAUAGUGAAGGAGGCGUGGCCUCUGUGUCUUAGACACAGUGAAGGAGGUGUGGCCUCUGUGUCUCAGUCUUAGAUAAGGAGGUGUGGCCUCUGUGUUAUAGUCUCAGUGAAGGAGGCGUAGCCUCUGUGUCUCAGACACAGUGAAGGAGGUGUGGCUUCUGUGUCUCAGUCUCAGUGAAGGAGGUGUGACCUCUGUGUCUCAGUCUUAGUGAAGGAGGUGUGGCCUCUAUGUGUCAGUCACAGUAAAGGAGGUGUGGUCUCUGUGUGUUAGUCUCAGUGAAGGAGGUGUGGUCUCUGUAUCUCAAUCAUAAUGAAGGAGGUGUGGCCUCUAUAUCAUAGUCUCAGUGAAGGAGGUGUGGCCUCUCUGCCAGUCUGCCUGUCAGUCGGAAUAAAGGACAAUCAGAGAAAAACACUUUAAAAGGAAAAAAGCAAAUUUUAAGGAUUGCAAAAUCACUUUUAGGGCAAAAACACACAAACUCUUGGGGUAAUGUACACACACACACACACACACACACACACACACACACACACACA